GAGCCCAAGAUUGAAAGCUGGCGUCUUCGGCGUCCGCAUCUGUAUAUCUCAAGAAGUGUUUUCCGCUUCGGACCAAGCCUAAGUCCCCUGGAAAGGGGCAUCAUAGAGGGUGAUAAUCCCGUACAUGGCUUGGAGCGCCCGAGGCUUUGUGAUACGCUUUCUAAGAGUCGAGUUGUUUGGGAAUGCAGCUCAAAAUGGGUGGUAAAUGCCAUCUAAGGCUAAAUAUUGGGGAGAGACCGAUAGCGAACAAGUACAGUGAUGGAAAGAUGAAAAGAACUUUGAAAAGAGAGUUAAACAGUACGUGAAAUUGCCAAAAGGGAAGGGUAGGAGGUCAGAGAUGCGGCCUGGGAUUCAGCCUUGCUUUUGCUUGGUGUUUUUCCCAGAUUGCAGGCCAACGUCGGUUUUGGGCACUGGAGAAGGGUAGGAGGAACGUGGCACCCCUCGGGGUGUGUUAUAGCCUCCUACUGGAUACAGCGACCGAGACCGAGGACAGCAGCGUACUCGCAAGAGCGGGCCUUCGGGCACCUUUACGCUUAGGGCGUUGGCAUAAUGGCCCUCUACCACCCGUCUUGAA
rnacentral:rRNA from 1 species